GUUUUAAUAAUUUAAUUUAAAAUACUGGUCUUGUAAAUCAGCUAUAAGAUAUAUAUCUUUUAAAACU
rnacentral:tRNA from 1 species